rnacentral:rRNA from 1 species
GUGGGGAAUCUUAGACAAUGGGCGCAAGCCUGAUCUAGCCAUGCCGCGUGAUCGAUGAAGGCCUUAGGGUUGUAAAGAUCUUUCAGUAGGGAAGAUAAUGACGGUACCUACAGAAGAAGCCCCGGCUAACUUCGUGCCAGCAGUCGCGGUAAUAUGAAGGGGGCUAGCGUUGUUCGGAUUUACUGGGCGUAAAGCGCACGUAGGCGGAUUGGUCAGUUAGAGGUGAAAUCCUGGAGCUCAACUCCAGAACUGCCUUUAAUACUGCCAGUCUAGAGUCCAGAAGAGGUGAGUGGAACUCCUAGUGUAGAGGUGGAAUUCGUAGAUAUUAGGAAGAACACCAGUGGCGAAGGCGGCUCACUGGUCUGGUACUGACGCUGAGGUGCGAAAGCGUGGGGAGCAAACAGGAUUAGAAACCCGGGUAGUCC